CCAAAGAAGGAUUCUUGGAUUCGUCAUUGUGUUUCAGACGUGUUCCAAUCAUUCUUCCUCUGUGAGAUCAUCAGCCAGAUAAUAUAUCUCAUGUUACUCUCCACGCUCUUCCCAUCCAUUUCUCGGUGCAAUAGCGCUACUCGUCACAUCCUUCAUUUUUAGUCAAAGUCAAUAAGAACUUAAGUUGAACAAAUAAUUUCCAUGGGACUUAAAUUGUAAUUAUAAAUGUUCAAGGGCUAGAAAUUGUGUAAUAUAGGGAUCUAGGGAUUUAGUUUCUAUUUUUGAAGAUGUGAGGACUAAAUGUGAUAUUGUAUGAAGAUUGGGGGACUUGACUCGCAAUUACCCUAUAUUUAUCCAUUAACUUAAGAGAUAAACAUCCAUUUUUUCCUCAUUUUUGGGGGCUAAAUUCGAGAAAGCUCGAGAUAAGGGAAGAAAGAAAAGAAGAGGAGAAGAAGAGGAAGUGGAUUUCCAAGCUUGGUGCUCCAUUUCUUCAAUUUCUCAUUUGAUUUUGAGAGGUAAGUGUAAGUAUAUUGAAUUAAGUUUUCUUUUAGGGUUUAUGGAAAUUUUGGUUAUAUUUGAAGUUAGCUAGAAUUAGAGGUUAUUGACAUUUAUUUGAGGUAUUAAACAUGAAUAUGUUAAAGAAAUAUAUAUUGAAAGAUUGUUGUUGGAAAAAAGAAAA